rnacentral:rRNA from 1 species
GACGAACGCUGGCGGCGUGCUUAACACAUGCGAGUCGAACGGAAAGGCCCUGCUUUUGUGGGGUGCUCGAGUGGCGAACGGGUGAGUAACCCGUGAGUAACCUGUCCUUGACUUUGGGAUAACUUCAGGAAACUGGGGCUCAUACCGGCUAGGAGCUCCUGCUGCAUGGUGGGGGUUGGAUAGUUUCGGCGGUUGGGGAUGGACUCGCGGCUUAUCAGCUUGUUGGUUGGGUAGUGGCUUACCAAGGCUUUGACGGGUAGCCGGCCUGAGAGGGUGACCGGCCACAUUAGGACUGAGAUACGGCCCAGACUCCUACGGGAGGCAGCAGUGGGGAAGAGUGCACAGUGGGCGGAAGCCUGGUGCGGCACCGCCGCGUGGGGUAAGACGGCCUUCGGGUUGUAAACCGCUUUCGCCUGUGACGAAGCGUGAGUGACGGUAAUGGGUAAAGAAGCACCGGCUAACUACGUG